rnacentral:rRNA from 1 species
UGGGGGAUAUUGCACAAUGGGCGAAAGCCUGAUGCAGCGACGCCGCGUGGGGGAUGAAGGCCUUCGGGUUGUAAACUUCUUUUGCUCUGAACAAGGCAUGCCUUUGGGGUGUGUUGAGUGUAGGGGUUGAUUAGCGCCGGCUAACUACGUGCCAGCAGCCGCGGUAAUACGUAGGGCGCGAGCGUUGUCCGGAAUUAUUGGACGUAAAGGGCUUGUAGGUGGCUGGUUGCGUCUGUCGUGAAAGCUCAUGGCUUAACUGUGGGUUUGCGGGGGGUACGGGCUGGCUUGAGUGCAGUAGGGGAGGCUGGAAUUCCUGGUGUAGCGGUGGAAUGCGCAGAUAUCAGGAGGAAUACCGGUGGCGAAGGCGGGUCUCUGGGCUGUUACUGACGCUGAGGAGCGAAAGCGUGGGGAGCGAACAGG